rnacentral:rRNA from 1 species
UACGUAGGGUGCGAGCGUUAAUCGGAAUUACUGGGCGUAAAGGGUGCGCAGGCGGCGUCGCAAGUCAGGCGUGAAAUCCCCGGGCUUAACCUGGGAACUGCACUUGAAACUACGAUGCUGGAGUAUGGCAGAGGGAGGUGGAAUUCCACGUAUAGCGGUGAAAUGCGUAGAGAUGUGGAGGAACACCGAUGGCGAAGGCAGCCUCCUGGGCCAAUACUGACGCUCAUGCACGAAAGCGUGGGGAGCAAACAGG